rnacentral:lncRNA from 1 species
AAUGUUUGGUUUGGUGGGGGACAUUGCUGAAUAGUUAAUUGUGGUAAAAUGCUGCAUUGGAACCAGUGGGCUGUGUUUAAAAGAUCUGCAGGCCACCAGAGCUCUGAAUCCAGCAAGAGGAACCUCUCACUGGAGGAGUCCAACUCACUGACACAGCUACCAACAAUGGCCGCUUCAAAGAGUGUGUCCAAAACAGUUAUGUGUUCGGUUCAGCAGAAGUGUCCCUCUUCCACCGAACACUGCUCUGUAGACCUAAGCCACAAAACACUGCAUGCCCAGCUGACACAGCGCCUUGAAGCUGUUCUCAGGGAGAGGGAGCAGGCCUCAUCAUUGGGGUAUGGUAGAGGUAAAACCACACCAAGGUCCGUGUCCAAACGGAUCUCAGAAAGGCCAAUGCCAGCCCGCCCCUUACCGAAGCAAAGACCAAGCGCACCAGUAACAUCACUGGAUAUAAAGAAUGACAAAAAAUCAGAAAAUAUGACAGGCAGCAUGAUAAUCUCUAGUCAUUACCAACACACCACCUCUACACCUG